GACGAAGGGGGCUAGCGUUGCUCGGAAUUACUGGGCGUAAAGCGCACGUAGGCGGCUCUUUAAGUCGGGGGUGAAAUCCUGGAGCUCAACUCCAGAACUGCCUUCGAUACUGAAGAGCUUGAGUCCGGGAGAGGUGAGUGGAACUGCGAGUGUAGAGGUGAAAUUCGUAGAUAUUCGCAAGAACACCAGUGGCGAAGGCGGCUCACUGGCCCGGUACUGACGCUGAGGUGCGAAAGCGUGGGGAGCAAACAGG
rnacentral:rRNA from 1 species